rnacentral:rRNA from 1 species
UUAAAUUGAAGAGUUUGAUCAUGGCUCAGAUUGAACGCUGGCGGCAGGCCUAACACAUGCAAGUCGAACGGUAACAGGAAGCAGCUUGCUGCUUCGCUGACGAGUGGCGGACGGGUGAGUAAUGUCUGGGAAACUGCCUGAUGGAGGGGGAUAACUACUGGAAACGGUAGCUAAUACCGCAUAACGUCGCAAGACCAAAGAGGGGGACCUUCG